rnacentral:lncRNA from 1 species
CCAUAUCCCCUUUUGGGUGCGAAUAAUGUGUAUGGACCAACACUUUGAUCUGGUUUAGCGUGGGAGCAUGAAAGAUGGUGGAAGACUGGUAGAGUGAUUGCAGUCGUCUUUGGCAGAGAGAGCAAAAAAAAAGAAGAAACAACAACGCAUCUCCAAGUUAUGAGAGGGCUGCGUUAGUAUUGGAAACGAGGACACUACUCUCAACUUGACCUUUCACUCUCUACUCAACAGAAUCCACUUUGAUUGCUUCCUCUCGCUAGAAUUUUCUCUCGCACCUGCAAUAACAUUGGCAACAAGAAAUACAAACUCAAUGAAGGAAAGAAAGGGCAAACAGGGAGAAAAACGAUUUUUUUUAAGAAGAGAAAGAGAAGGGAGAACGAAUGGGGAAAAAGAAAGUCAGCCACACAGAGAAGAGAAAGUAUUGCACACAAUGUUAACAAUAGCAAACAGAUCUCCAAGAGGUACGCAGUGCCUUGCACUCCAUGUUUCACUGAGUUGUUUGCUGGCCCUUGAACAUCCUUUUGUUACGUUGCUGCUAUGCUGCUAUGUUUGCAUAUGAUUGCUGAUGAAUACAUUCCUACUAUGUGGUGUAUAUUUGUAUAUGAUAUUGUGGCAUGAGUCUUUCCCAUUCUCCAUCACUAUCCAAUCCUCAAUCAUAUUCCAUCUUAAACUUGAAACCAAUACGUGUUCAAUCACCAUCAUCUUCGCCUUCUAUAAUAAUCUCUAUUAAUCUCCAUUGUUAUCGAACACCACCAUCAACCCAUAUCCACUCCUUGAUUCCUCCGCCGUCAAAUGGCUUCCUUUACAUGUUUCUACCACUAAAUAUCCCCAUUUUCGCC